CAGCAGCCGCGGUAAUACGUAGAUGGCGAGCGUUGUCCGGAAUCACUGGGCGUAAAGGGCACGCAAGCGGCAAAGCAAGUCAUAUGUGAAAACCUGGGGCUUAACUCCAGGCCUGCGUAUGAAACUGCUUUGCUAGAGGGCAGAAGAGGAGAGCGGAAUUCCUAGUGUAGCGGUGAAAUGCGUAGAUAUUAGGAAGAACACCAGUGGCGAAGGCGGCUCUCUGGUCUGACCCUGACGUUGAGGUGCGAAAGCUGGGGGAGCAAACGGGAUUAGAUACCCCGGUAGUCCCAGCUGUAAACGAUGGGCACUAGGUGUUGGUGGUUCGAAUCCAUCGGUGCCGGAGUUAACGCGAUAAGUGCCCCGCCUGGGGAGUAUGUUCGCAAGAAUGAAACUCAAAGGAAUUGACGGGGGCCCGCACAAGCGGUGGAGCAUGUGGUUUAAUUCGAAGCAACGCGAAGAACCUUACCGAGAUUUGACAUCCCGUGACCACCUGUGAAAGCAGGGAUUUGAUCUUUGAUCACACCGAGACAGGUUGUGCAUGGCUGUCGUCAGCUCGUGUCUUGAGAUGUUGGGUUAAGUCCCGCAACGAGCGCAACCCUUGUUCCUAGUUGCCAGCAUUUAGGUGGGGACUCUAGGGAGACUGCCCAGAGAAACUCGGAGGAAGGUGGGGAUGACGUCAAGUCAUCAUGCCCUUUAUGUCUCGGGCUACACACGUGCUACAAUGGCCGGUACGAAAGGUAGCGAAGCUGCAAAGUGAAGCUAUUCUUUUAAAGCCGGUCCCAGUUCGGAUUGGAGACUGCAACUCGUCUCCAUGAAGGUGGAAUCGCUAGUAAUCGUGGAUCAGCACGCCACGGUGAAUACGUUCCCGGGCCUUGUACACACCGCCCGUCACACCACGAAAGUCGACUGUACCAGAAGUUGCUGGGCUAACUCCGUUUACGGGGGAGCAGUACCUCGAAGGUAGGUUGGACAAUUGGGGUGAAGUCGUAACAAGGUAACCGUA
rnacentral:rRNA from 1 species